UUAAACUAAUUUCUAAAAAUCGAAACCUAACUUUGGUCAUAUGCUUUUGAAUAACUUUUUUAUUUGGCAAGAACAUAAUAAGCUCUCUCUUCUCUCUUUCUCCUUUAUAUACGUGUACCACAAAUUCCUCUUCAACCAUAAAUCUCUCUGACUACUUCAUUUUCUCUCCUCAACAGUAAUACACAAAGUUUCUUAUUGGAUUCAAGCCAAGAUCAACGUAUCAAGAUGUUCAUCUUCCAUGUGUAGAGGUUUCAUAUAUAUGUAUUUAUUAGUUUGUCGUUAUGCCUGGCUCCCUGUAUGCCACGAGUGGAUACCGAUUUUGGUUUAAAAAUCGGCUGCCGGUGGCGUACAAGGAGCCAAGCAUGACCAGAAGCAUAUGAUAACUCAUUUGCAUCAACAACUAUAUAUGGUUUGUGUUAUAGUAGAUGAUGUCUUAUUCAAUAUUCAUCUUUGGUGUUUAUAACUUUGUGUUUUUGAUCAGUAAACAGAAAUAAAACCAUAGUUUUGUGAUUGUCUGUUUGAUAUGUACUACGAUACUUUUGUUUGGAUUCGGUUUUAGUCAUAUGAAUAGUCGUGAGUUUUUUUAAAAGAAUGGUUUCGUUUUCUCCCGGUUUGGUCAAGUAACUUGUUUCAAGUUUCAUAAGUAUAGAAUUUGAUUAGGGCUACAAUAAUCUAAAUUGAUUCGUUUAAAGUUACAGUGAUUUGGUUUGUCCAAAUAUAUACUCGAGUCAUUUCGUUUGUUUUUAUUUUAGUCUUGGUGUAAUCAUUUCGUCUAUGUUAUGUAGCUUUACUGUAAAGUUCUUCUAUGUUUGAAUUUUUGUCUACUUUUUUUAUAUGAAUAUUUUGGGAUGCACCGAACUUGAAUCAUUUCAUUUGAAUUAUCAUUGGCGGACAAAGUUGAAGUCUUAGGAGAAGAAACAUGUUUGAGAGUGUUCUUUUGUUUUCGGUGGCAAACAGUAAACGUAACAAUCAAUCAGAUUAAUUCUGAAGAAAAAACUCAGAAUUUAGGCGUUAAUUAAGUCUUUAAAAGUUGAAUCAAUCACGGAACACUAUAAAUUGACGGUGAACCAUUUAACAUGGUUAUUUUAAAACCACUUCCAUAUAUAUAAUUAACUAGUGUUUGAUAAAAAUAAGUUAAAGGGGGAAAUUGGGAUCUAUACAAGGGAAGUAUCUAGUAUAUAGUUUUAUGUUAUGUCUUUCUAAGUUGUGUAUUAACCAAAAUUUUCUUUGUUAGGAUAAGAAUGCUUUGUUUUUCAAACAUUUACCAUAUUUAAGUAGUAGGAAUUGACUUUGCUAAACAGGUAGAUAUGUAAACAUUUUACUUGUAACGUGCGACUCGAUUUCUAAUUUUGUUCGGAUUUUUCAGAUAGUCGGAGGCUCUUACGAGUACGGAUUGUGACCUACCCGCGAUUGCAAGUACAAGUAGAAACAGAAAACAAUAACGGACAUUUAGAAAAUUUUGAAUUCAAGAAUUUGUACCCAAUCUCAAAAUAUACAUUCUAUUUAUUUUUAUAUAGAUUAAUAUGAUACAUAUAAAUAAUUAUAUUUUUCUUUUUCAUGAUAUUAUUCAUUAAUCCUUGCAAAUUUGAUCACUGUGAUUAAAGCUAAUUUUCUAUACUUCAUGUUUUUUUCUUAACAAAUCUAUAUUUCAUGUUUAUAACUUAUAAAACAGUUGUCCGGUCCGUGCCACGUCUACAAGGCCAAAAGAUCUUUGCGUUCGUCAAGCUGCUUUAAGCCUUAAGGGCAAGUAAACCAAGGCCUUCAAACAACGAGACUACGAGAGGGUCAUCACGUUAAUGUAAAAACCACUUUUCUCUGAAGCUGUUGUAUCGUUCAGACACAAGUUGUACUAGUAAUCUUUUUACUUAAUUCAACUCUAAUGAUAAACUCAUAAAAAAAGUUGAUGUCUUUAUCAUAAGAACAUCAACUCUUCAUAUUCUGUUUUAUCUGAAUAAAGAAU
rnacentral:lncRNA from 1 species